rnacentral:tRNA from 1 species
UCGGAUAUGGUGUAACGGCUAUCAUCACCACCUAUCUCGCGGCAGCCCGGGGUUCGAUUCCCCGUAUCCGAA